CUCCCAAAUAUAUUAGAAAUUUUCAACGGCUUUUAAGUCUUCCAAAACUCCCCCAAAAUCAAUUUCCCAGUCCCAAAAUGAAGGUUUCAUCUCAAUCGACUUUCCUCUGCAAAUUAAGGUAAGUCCAAUUCUUAUAUUACUUCCAUCCCUCUCUCCUAACGUAAAGUUGCAGGAAAAUCUCUUGCCAGCCGUUGUUAUUGUCUUCGCCAGACUGGACUUUGUCACCUCGCUACCAGAAUCGAGUGUCGGAGGCGAUUGGUACCAGCGAAUUAUUAUGUUGAUGCUAAUUAGCGGACAAGUAGUCGGGUUCGGCAGAUCUGUGGCUGAAAGUACAUUAACUCCUUCGAUUUCUGAUUUCAUGAUGUGGCACGACACGAGAGAGGCUACAGAGAAUGAAAUAGAUGUUUUGUUGAUGACGUUGAUGCCGAAGUUUUUUAGAGAGUUAGGUAUCUCGUUAGAUUAGCUUAUGUAGUUUAUUUAUACAAUUUAACGUAGUUUGUUAUGCAUUCAACAAAUGUUUGUAAUUUGACGGGUUUAUUUCCGAAUUGGAUGUCUAUGGGUUUAUUUCCGAUUUGAAUGUGUAUUGUUUUGGUUUGAUUUGAAAAUGUUCCAUUGGUAAGCUUGAUG